rnacentral:rRNA from 1 species
AUUGAACGCUGGCGGCAGGCCUAACACAUGCAAGUCGAGCGGAGCGGCGGAGGGGGGAGGGAUGCCUAGGAAUGUGCAUGGGAGUGGUGGAGAGCGUCCGGAAACGGGCGCGAAUGCCGAAACCUAUCGGAUGAGGAUAGGUCGGAUUAGCUAGUUGGUGGGGUAAAGGCAUACCAAGGCGACGAUCCCUAACUGGUCUGAGAGGAUGAUCAGUCACACUGGAACUGAGACACGGUCCAGACUCCUACGGGAGGCAGCAGUGGGGAAUAUUGGACAAUGGGCGAAAGCCUGAUCCAGCCAUGCCGCGUGUGUGAAGAAGGUCUUCGGAUUGUAAAGCACUUUAAGUUGGGAGGCGUUACCAGCAGAAUAAGCACCGGCUAACUUCGUGCCAGCAGCCGCGGUAAUUC